GUCUUGGUAGUUUAAAGCAGAAAGAGCACGGUGCCUGGAAAGCACGUGAACGGGUUCGACUCCCGUCCAAGGCA
rnacentral:tRNA from 1 species